GUUUGCUCUAAAUAUUUGUCUUUAGGGUAGACUGAUCAAAAGUACAAGUAUUGGCCUAAUCUGGCUCCCACUGAAAGCAGUGACGAAGCUCCCAUAAUGGAAAUGGUUGAACUGAAGCUGCGUGGUAAAUUACACUAGUGCAGCUUCUCUCACAAACACAGCCUCUUUCUUUUAUGAGGGUGUGAAUACAACAUACAGUGCAGCAGUGAUCGGAGUUCUCUUGAAGCACUGUAGGUAUGUAUGCCUAGUACUCAAGCAGAACUAAUUAGUUCAGCUCAUCAACACGGUUUCUCUGUGCUCAUGCAAUUUUAAGGAACCCCCUGUGUAGCUGUUGGUGUGUCAUUUUGUGCACUAACUUACGUGGCACUUCCUUGGAAGUCUUAAAAGCAGUACAGGGUGAACACACCCCCAGAAAGCUCUGUUUCAUCACUUCAGUACCUGUUUGUUUCUAGAUGGCAAGUGUAUGCUUAUUUCCACAAAAGGCAGAUGUAUUUUUCUUUUCCAGAAAUGCAAAUGAAGACAACAGCUACCACAGACAGCAGCUCUGAUAGGCUCCUUCUGUUCUCAGUAGUUAUCCAGAUCUAUUUUCUUCAUACACAAAUCCCAGAAUUCCUGCUUUGGAGAAACAAAGAUGACUUCAGUGAAUGGAGACCCCACGUGUUGCCUGAGAUGGACCUGUUCUAG
rnacentral:lncRNA from 1 species